rnacentral:rRNA from 1 species
UACGAAGGGAGCUAGCGUUGUUCGGAAUCACUGGGCGUAAAGCGCACGUAGGCGGAUGUGUCAGUCAGGGGUGAAAUCCCGGAGCUCAACUUCGGAACUGCCUCUGAUACAGCACGUCUUGAGUCCGAUAGAGGUGGGUGGAAUUCCUGGUGUAGCGGUGGAAUGCGCAGAUAUCAGGAGGAACACCCGAGUGGCGAAGGCAGGU